rnacentral:rRNA from 2 species
UGGGGAAUAUUGCUCAAUGGGGGAAACCCUGACGCAGCAACGCCGCGUGAAGGAUGAAGGUUUUCGGAUUGUAAACUUCUUUGACGAGGGACGAAGAAAUGACGGUACCUCGAAAACAAGCCACGGCUAACUACGUGCCAGCAGCCGCGGUAAUACGUAGGUGGCAAGCGUUGUCCGGAUUUACUGGGUGUAAAGGGCGUGUAGGCGGGCUGUCAAGUCAGAUGUGAAAUCUAUGGGCUUAACCCAUAACGUGCAUUUGAAACUGAUAGUCUUGAGUGAUGGAGAGGCAGGCGGAAUUCCUAGUGUAGCGGUGAAAUGCGUAGAUAUUAGGAGGAACACCAGUGGCGAAGGCGGCCUGCUGGACAUUAACUGACGCUGAGGCGCGAAAGCGUGGGGAGCAAACAGG